AAAAGGCAUAUUAAUGUAUUUCAUGAGCUUCUUCAGUAAAUCUGUAUUUCUAAGUCAGUAUCUCCCUUCAGAAAUGUUGCUGAAGGGAGAUACUGACUUAGAAAUACAGGUGAACUCAUGAAAAUAAGCUCAUGAAAUACUCAUGAAAGAAGCUCAUGAAAUACAUUAAUAUGCCUUUUUCAGAAUAUAUUUCACCAAUUUUAAGGAGUCCCUGACAUCAAAACAUUGCUUGUUUUGUUCCUGGACUCUUCAGUGAUGAUGAGCAGAGUCUGAGUGAACCUGCUGUCAGACAAUCACUAUUGCACACCAAGUAAGCAAAACAAUAUUUUUGAUUUCAUUUUAUUUUAUUUCUGCAAACAACUUGCACCACUUGCAAUUGGUUUUCCAGCCCAAAACCUCAUCAAAAACUGAAUGCAACGGUUUUUGUCUAUGAUUAUUUUGUCAAAACAUCUUUUGUCUAUGGUAACUCUAAUCUACAUUAACUAUUUAAUUAGUAUCCAGUUAUUUAUAUUAAAUUUGUG